CUUUACUAUAACUUUGCAGUGGCAUUAGAAAUGACAUGUGUAGCAUAGUUGGGACACUUUGAAGCCUGGGCGCUAGCUCGGGUGGAGUGGAAAAGUGAAAUACCAACCUUGUCGUUUCUGAUGUCUAACCGGGACAGUUAUCCUGUUUCGGGACCCUGCAUGGUGGGUAGUUUGACUGGGGCGGUCGCCUCCUAAAUUGUAACGGAGGCGUGCAAAGGUUGGCUCAAUCUGGUCGGAAAUCAGAUGUAGAGUGCAUUGGCAUAAGCCAGCCUGACUGCAAGACUGACAAGUCGAGCAGAGACGAAAGUCGGUCAAAGUGAUCCGGUGGUUCCGCAUGGAAGGGCCAUCGCUCAACGAAUAAAAGGUA
rnacentral:rRNA from 1 species